GCCCCCUCUGGCACCAGCGAGGUGAUACCGGCUUCCUGUGUCCCGGACCCAGUCGACGAGGCCGCGUCCGCUCCUCCGAGUGCGGCGGCAGCGGCGGCGGCGGCGAAGGGCGAGGUGGCUGGAGCCCCCGGGGCGGCCAGAGGAGUGAUAGAAAUUUCAGGAGCGUUGUCGUUGACGUCUCGGAUGCGCACGAUAACCUUGCAGGUGGCUGUCCGGGGCCCUGGACCUCGGUCUUGAGCCCGCACGUCCAGCUCGUAGGUGUCCUGGCGCUCGUAGUCCACCUGCCCAGCCAAGGGCCUCUCUGGAAGCAACACUCGCCCUGUUCCAGAAGAACAAAAUCACAGCGUGACGUUGAAACCUGGCAGGAACCUGGGGUAACUUAGCCAUCUGCCUAUGAAACCGUAGAACUUCAGCAUUACCACUUUCCCUGGCUGGGGUCCUCGAGAUGCCUCCGUAGGUAUCCAGGUAUCUCCACUCCCGGAGCUGAAGGACAGGUUGUGCCAACCUGGAACAAGACUGAUUCUUAUUGAUUCUUACCGAAGGACUCUAUUGAACAGGCGAUGUAAAUACACAGGAAGAAGGGAGAGUUACAAACACAAGUCACACACUUGGAGAAAUAAAGACAAUGAGUUUGCUAAGC
rnacentral:lncRNA from 1 species